rnacentral:misc_RNA from 1 species
GGAGAAGAAGGAACUGAGAAGAAGGUAUCAGCAACAACAGGUUUUAUUACGGGACAGCUCAUGAUGUUCAUAUCGAUCUAUUAUGCGCCUCUGCAUCUAGCAUUGGGUAGACCUCAUACAAUAACUGUCCUAGCUCUACCCUAUCUUUUGUUUCAUUUCUUCUGGAACAAUCACAAACACUUUUUUGAUUAUGGAUCUACUACCAGAAAUUCAAUGCGUAAUCUUAGCAUUCAAUUUGUAUUCCUGAAUAAUCUCAUUUUUCAAUUAUUCAACCAUUUCAUUUUACCAAGUUCAAUGUUAGUCAGAUUAGUCAACAUUUAUAUGUUUCGAUGCAACAACAAGAUGUUAUUUGUAACAAGUAGUUUUGUUGGUUGGUUAAUUGGUCACAUUUUAUUCAUGAAAUGGGUUGGAUUGAUAUUAGUCUGGAUACAGCAAAAUAAUUCUAUUAGAUCUAAUGUACUUUUUCGAUCUAAUAAGUACCUUGUGUCAGAAUUGAGAAAUUCUAUGGCUCGAAUCUUUAGUAUUCUCUUAUUUAUUACCUGUGUCUACUCUUUAGGCAGAAUACCGUCACCCAUUUUUACUAAGAAACUGAAAGAAACCUCAGAAACGGAAGAAAGGGAGGAAGAAACAGAUGUAGAAAUAGAAAAAACUUCCGAAACGAAGGGGACUAAACAGGAACAAGAGGGAUCCACCGAAGAAGAUCCUUCUUCUUCCCUUUUUUCGGAAGAAAAGGAGGAUCCGGACAAAAUCGACGAAACGGAAGAGAUCCAAGUGAAUGGAAAGGAAAAAACAAAGGAUGAAUUCCAUUUUCACUUUAAAGAGACAUGCUAUAAAAAUAGACCACUUUAUGAAACUUUUUAUCUGGAUGGGAAUCAAGAAAAUUCGAAGUUAGAAAUAUUGAUAGAUAAAAAAAAUAAAGAUCUUUUCUGGUUUGAAAAACCUCUUGUAACUAUUCUUUUUGACUCUAAACGUUGGAAUCGUCCAUUUCGAUAUAUAAAAAAUGAUCAGUUUGAGAAUGCUGUAAGAAAAGAAAUGUCACAAUAUUUUUUUUAUACAUGUCGGAGUGAUGGAAAAGAAAGAAUAUCUUUUACGUAUCCACCCAGUUUGUCAACUUUUUUGGAAAUGAUACAAAGAAAGAUAUCUCUGUUUACAACAGAAAAACUCUCCUCUGAUGAAUUGUAUAAUCGUUGGAAUUAUAAGAAUGAACAAAAAAAGAAAAUCCUAAAUAAUGAAUUUAUAAAUAGAGUCCAGGCUCUAGAUAAGGAAUAUCUUACUCUGAAUACACUCGAAAAAAGGACUAGACUAUGUAAUGAUAAAACUAAAAAAAAGUACUUACCUAAAAUUUAUGAUCCCUUUUUGAGUGGGUCCUGCCGCGGGAAAAUCCAAUUUUUUUUUUCACCCUCACUCCUAAAUAAAACUUCCAUAAAAAAUUCAAUAGAGAUGCUUUGGAUAAAUAAAAUUCAUCUUAUUCUUCUUAUUACUAAUUAUCAAGAAUUUGAAUCAAAAACAGAUGGAUUUAAUAGAAAAGCAUUUUCAAUAGAAAAUGCUUAUUUCUUAAACUUAAUUAAUGAAUUUGUUGGAAAAUCAAGAUCAAGUUUAAAUUUUAAGGAACUUCCCUUAUUUCCAGAUCACAAAGAAGAAAAAAUGUAUUUAGAAAAUCGAAUAAAAAUUUUAAAAUUUUUAUUUCAUACAGUUAUAGCGAAUCCAAAAAAUAAAACAAUUAUAAAAAAUUCUACUGGAAUAAAAGAAAUAAGUAAACAAGUUCCUCGAUGGUCAUACAAAUUAAUUGACGAUUUGGAACAACAAGAGGGAGAAAAUGAAGAAAACAUGUCGGAAGAUUAUGAAAUUCGUUCACGAAAAGCCAAACGGGUAGUGAUUUUUACUGAUAAUAAAAAAAAUACAGAUACUUAUAAUAAUACCAAAGAUACAACGAAUUCUGAUCAAAUAGAAGAAGUGACUUUGAUACAUUAUUCACAACAAUCGGAUUUUCGCCGAGACAUAAUAAAAGGAUCCGUGCGCGCACAAAGACGCAAAAUAGCUAUUUGGGAACUGUUUCAAGCAAAUGUGCAUUCUCCUCUUUUUUUGGACAGAAUAGACAAAUCUCUUUUUUUUUCUUUUGAUAUUUCCGAACUGAUAAAAACAAUGUUUAUAAAUUGG